rnacentral:rRNA from 1 species
GUCGAGCGGAACGAGUUAUCUGAACCUUCGGGGGACGAUAACGGCGUCGAGCGGCGGACGGGUGAGUAAUGCCUAGGAAAUUGCCCUGAUGUGGGGGAUAACCAUUGGAAACGAUGGCUAAUACCGCAUAAUGCCUACGGGCCAAAGAGGGGGACCUUCGGGCCUCUCGCGUCAGGAUAUGCCUAGGUGGGAUUAGCUAGUUGGUGAGGUAAUGGCUCACCAAGGCGACGAUCCCUAGCUGGUCUGAGAGGAUGAUCAGCCACACUGGAACUGAGACACGGUCCAGACUCCUACGGGAGGCAGCAGUGGGGAAUAUUGCACAAUGGGCGCAAGCCUGAUGCAGCCAUGCCGCGUGUGUGAAGAAGGCCUUCGGGUUGUAAAGCACUUUCAGUCGUGAGGAAGGUAGUGUAGUUAAUAGCUGCAUUAUUUGACGUUAGCGACAGAAGAAGCACCGGCUAACUCCGUGCCAGCAGCCGCGGUAAUACGGAGGGUGCGAGCGUUAAUCGGAAUUACUGGGCGUAAAGCGCAUGCAGGUGGUUUGUUAAGUCAGAUGUGAAAGCCCGGGGCUCAACCUCGGAAUAGCAUUUGAAACUGGCAGACUAGAGUACUGUAGAGGGGGGUAGAAUUUCAGGUGUAGCGGUGAAAUGCGUAGAGAUCUGAAGGAAUACCGGUGGCGAAG